AGAUACAAUGACGAACUCUGGAAAUAAUGCAAGAGGCCACCAAAUGAAAACUCUGAAAGGGGAAAGAGAGAGCGGAACAAGCUAGAUAGGGAUCCUAGGACUGGAGGAACAACAUAGCAGUAGGAACAACACCUGCCUCCAACAGGAGAAGACAGCUGACCAGGAGUGCCCAGGUGGUACCGGCAAAGGGGAUUACCACAUUAACAAGCAGCCUCCCCUGGAAAGAAGCACAUUUUGUCUCCAUGGACCCAAGAUUCCUUUUAUGUAGAGGCACCAGGAGAACCAGCCUGAGGAAUUUCCUCCCACCCGCUCCAGUAGCAGCAGGAAAAGCAAGUGGGAGCCCCAGGAGACUGUAAUCAUAUGACAAAGGCUCUGAAAUUAAGUAACCAUUGGGCCCACAGCCCACUAAACUAGGCCAGGCUCUGCUUGUUAACCUAAAUAGGGUGAUAGCUGGCUAAAAAAAAAUAAAAGCUUCAAGUAGGAGCCAGAGUCUCCUAAUACAAAAGGCAAGAUGUCCAAUUUUAAAAUAUGCAUCAUAGUAAGAACCAGGAAAAUGACUUAGAUGAGAAAAGACCAUCAGCUGACCCUAACACAGAGAUGAACCAGGUGGUAGAAAUAUCUGACAAAGACUUCAAAUCAGCUGUCAUAAAAAUGCUUCAGCAGGGAAUUGCAAAUUCUCUUGAAACAAAUGAGAGGAGAGAAAAAUCUCAGCAAAGAAAUAGAAGUUAUAAAAAAAAGGAACCAAAUGGAAAUUAUAGAACU